GCCAGGAUGGCCGAGCGGUCUAAGGCGCUGCGUUCAGGUCGCAGUCUCCCCUGGAGGCGUGGUUCUAAUCCCACUUCUGACA
rnacentral:tRNA from 1 species